CAGUAGACGGCAGCACUGCGGACCGCGCGUAUCGCAGUUCUCGUCAGAGCUUCUUAACGCGCUUUUCUUCGUAAAAUUCGUGGCCGUAGUUGUCCUCGUCGUUGUCGUCGUCGUCGUCGUCGUCGUUUUUGUCGUCGGCGCUAAAGCUUAAUACUUAUUGGAAUUUUUGCCCAUUUUUUUUUUUUUUAAAUCGCGACCUAACCUCUUCGAUUAAUCGCUCGAGAGGAGGAAGACUAAUCAUCCCCUUCAACCCCCCACCCCCUACUUUUCUCUCUUUCGGAGUAUAUCUAUAUAUAUAUAUACACUACUUAUAGUUCAACCUUUUAAACUCUCCUCUCCCUAAUUGUAACAACCAUCGCGUUGUAAAAACCCUAGCAUCCCCCGACCCCUUUUCUCAUAGCCAAUAACAUUUUGCGAGAUAUUUUUUUGUCUCUUUUAUCCUGUUUUUCCUAUUUGAUUUUAAUUCGUUUUUGUUAUUGUUGCAAUUUCGAGGAUAUUGAAUAAAGUUAUUUGUAAUAAAAUAUGAUUAAUGUAACGGAAAGUUGUUUGAUUUGAAUCGAGGAAACAAGAUAAUACCUUAGACGACAAAACCAACGAAAGUUAUUGGGAAGGAUGAUGUGCCGUCGGUAAAAUAAAUCGUUCGAAACCCGACCCGCCAUUUUUGUUUUUCCACGCGUUAAACGUAAUUUUUUUUAUUAUUCUGGUGCCGGUCAGAUGUGAUACGAAUUUUUGUCGAUUUUAUUAUCAUUAUUAUUAUUAUUAUUCGAAUGAAAUUGCAACGAACGGCCGGUCGUGACGUCGGCUAAACGAUAGUUUUUAUUUUUUUUUUUAUUUUUUUCGUUUCCCUUUAGAUUUUGGUUAAUUUUUCGUCAUUCAUACGAAUUCGUAGCGUAAUUUUUUCACGUGUGUUUUGUGACCAAUGAAGGGUAUAUGAAAAAUAAAUAUUCAAUUGAAGAUCUAAUUGUAUGACGAGA
rnacentral:lncRNA from 1 species